ACGUAGGGGGCGAGCGUUGUCCGGAAUCACUGGGCGUAAAGCGCACGUAGGCGGCCUGGCAAGUCGGCCGUGAAAGGCUCGGGCUCAACCUGUGCACUGCGGUUGAGACUGCAUGUCUUGAAUCCAGGAGAGGGGAGUGGAAUUCCGAGUGUAGAGGUGAAAUGCGUAGAUAUUCGGAGGAACACCAGUGGCGAAGGCGGCUCACUGGACUGGUAUUGACGCUGAGGUGCGAAAGCGGGGGGAGCAAACAG
rnacentral:rRNA from 1 species